rnacentral:rRNA from 1 species
UACGAAGGGUGCAAGCGUUAAUCGGAAUUACUGGGCGUAAAGGGCGCGUAGGCGGUUUGCAUAGUCAGACGUGAAAUUCCUGGGCUUAACCUGGGGGCUGCGUUUGAUACUUGCGGACUUGAGUGGGGAAGAGGGUCGUGGAAUUCCCAGUGUAGAGGUGAAAUUCGUAGAUAUCGGGAGGAACACCAGUGGCGAAGGCGACUUCCUGGCCUGUUCUUGACGCUGAGGCGCGAAAGCUAGGGUAGCAAACGGG